GAACGUACGCUGGCGGCACGCCUAACACAUGCAAGUCGAACGAAGUAGCAAUACUUAGUGGCAGACGGGUGAGUAACAUGUGGGUAUCUGCCCUUUGGCCUGGAAUAACACGAGGAAACUUGUGCUAAUACCGGAUAAGUCUUUACAGAGAAAGCUUUAUGCACCAUUGGAUGAGCCCGCACUUGAUUAGUUUGUUGGUGGGGUAAUGGCCUACCAAGACUGUGAUCAAUAGCUGAUUUGAGAGGAUGAUCAGCCACAUUGGGACUGAGACACGGCCCAAACUCCUACGGGAGGCAGCAGUGGGGAAUCUUGCACAAUGGAGGAAACUCUGAUGCAGCGAUGCCGCGUGAGUGAAGAAGGCCCUUGGGUUGUAAAGCUCUUUCGUCGGGGAAGAAAAUGACUGUACCCGAAUAAGAAGGUCCGGCUAACUUCGUGCCAGCAGCCGCGGUAAUACGAAGGGACCUAGCGUAGUUCGGAAUUACUGGGCUUAAAGAGUUCGUAGGUGGUUGAAAAAGUUGGUGGUGAAAUCCCAGAGCUUAACUCUGGAACUGCCAUCAAAACUUUUCAGCUAGAGUAUGAUAGAGGAAAGCAGAAUUUCUAGUGUAGAGGUGAAAUUCGUAGAUAUUAGAAAGAAUACCAAUUGCGAAGGCAGCUUUCUGGAUCAUUACUGACACUGAGGAACGAAAGCAUGGGUAGCGAAGAGGAUUAGAUACCCUCGUAGUCCAUGCCGUAAACGAUGUGUGUUAGACGUUGGAAAUUUAUUUUCAGUGUCGCAGCGAAAGCGAUAAACACACCGCCUGGGGAGUACGACCGCAAGGUUAAAACUCAAAUGAAUUGACGGGGACCCGCACAAGUAGUGGAGCAUGUGGUUUAAUUCGAAGAUACGCGCAGAACCUUACCAACACUUGACAUGUUCGUCGCGACUCUAAGAGAUUAGAGUUUUCGGUUCGGCCGGACGAAACACAGGUGCUGCAUGGCUGUCGUCAGCUCGUGUCGUGAGAUGUUGGGUUAAGUCCCGCAACGAGCGCAACCCUCACUUUUAGUUGCCAUCAUUAAGUUGGGCACUCUGAAAGAACUGCCAGUGAUAAGCUGGAGGAAGGUGGGGAUGACGUCAAGUCCUCAUGGCCCUUACGUGUUGGGCUACACACGUGCUACAAUGGUAUCUACAACAGGAAGCAAGACUGCGAAGUUAAGCAAAUCCCUAAAAGAUACCUCAGUUCGGAUUGCACUCUGCAACUCGAGUGCAUGAAGCUGGAAUUACUAGUAAUCGUGGAUCAGCGUGCCACGGUGAAUGCGUUCCCGGGUCUUGUACACACCGCC
rnacentral:rRNA from 1 species